rnacentral:lncRNA from 1 species
UUCCCUCCUCUCUUUCUUCGCUCUCUCCCUCGGUCUCUCUCCGUCCCGGCACGAGCAGAGGCGUCGGGCGUUACUACGGCGUAACGGCCGCGGCUGCCCUCCUCCUCCUCCUCCGUUCUCCCUCGCCUACCUCUCAUCUCCAUUUGUCCCUCACCAUCCUCUCUCUUUCUCUCUCCCCUUCCCUCCUCAUGUGGAGGCAUGCAACGAGGCGGUGGCAAGCGCUAGGUGAUGGUGGCUCUAAGGGCGGUGCGACGGGAUGGGAGGGGCUCGGCGGUCACCUCGCUCUCCCCCAUCCUCCGUGCAGCCUCCUCAAUGCCUCCUCCCGCUAGGGAGCUUAUGCUUCUUUGCUCGACGAAACCCUAAGUGUUGUUCGGUGGCGGCGGCGGCGGCGGUGAAGCUCCACGAGUAGAUUUGCCGGUGACUCACUUUCCUCCUUCAUCCUAGGCGAUAGAUUCUGUGAUAGAAGCCCUAUCCACGUCGCUCCAAGUGUCCUUGGCCAUCCGAUCUCGCGUUCAACGGCCCAGAUCGCUCGAAGCGGUUUCUCACCGGCACCAGCUUCUUCUGCUUUUGGUUAGCUUCUCUCGCUUCUUCUUUGCUUCUCUGGCUUCUUUUCAGAAUCCGGGAAACUGAAUAUAUACUCUGGCUUCCACUUCUCCUUCCAGAUUCUUCCCUCCUCUCUUUCUUCGCUCUCUCCCUCGGUCUCUCUUCGUCCCGGCACGAGCAGAGACGUCGGGCGUGACUACGGUGCAACGGCGGCGGCGGCCCUCCUCCUCCUCCUCCGUUCUCCCUCGCCUACCUCUCAUCUCCGUUUGUCCCUCACCAUCCUCUCUCUUUCUCUCUCCCCUUCCCUCCUCAUGUGGAGGCAGGCAACAAGGCGGCAGCUAGCGCUAGGUGACGGCGCCUCUGAGGGCGGUGCGACGGGAUGGGAGGGGCUCGGCGGUCACCUCGCUCUCCCCCAUCCUCCGUGCAGCCUCCUCAAUGCCUCCUCCUGCUAGGGAGCUUAUGCUUCUUUGCUCGACGAAACCCUAAGUGUCUGUUCGGCGGCGGCGACAGCGGCGGCGGUGAAGCUCGACGAGUAGAUUUGCCGGUGACUCACUUUCCUCCUUCGUCCCAUGGCUGCUCCCCAAGGUUCUCUCAGUCGCAUUUUUUUUGGAGCGGCAGAUCCUCACAAAAAUUUCUAUGGCACAAUUCCUAUGGCAAUUGACAACUGCAGAUUCUAAAGCUUGUGCUGAUUUUAUUGUCUUUAAUAUGAUAAUUUCUAUUACCUGAAUUAAAGCAUGUUAGUUUGUUCAAAAACAAAACUUUUAGGUGGAAUGGUUAUAUGUACAGUUUUGAUAUAUUACUAUGCAUUUAUUUGUCAUCUCCUUAGAAUGGAUACUGUCCACUCAUUGAAACAGCAGCAAGGCCAGUUCCUUUUAUAUGCUAUUUUUUCUUUGUGUGAUUUAUGACAGUGAUUAGUUAGUGCAUAUGUCCAUGACCAUGUGCUUCUUCCAGUAGAUUCCUGUUUAAUUGAAACCAAUGAGUUUCCACAAAGAACGAUGCUCUAUUUUUAAUAUCAUGCCAGUUUUAUCUCCAUCUAUAUUGAUAACCUCCAUUUAAUUUUAGAGGAUUUGAGUUCAAUCGUCUUGCAAGGACACCGCUUGGUAACGGGCAGCAUCACAUACCCAGCAACCAAAUAGGUAAACUUUCAAACUCAAAGACUCUAAACUAUUUUUAGGAAUAAAGAAUCGAACUACUAAAAUAUUGUUAUUUAAUUACUUUAAAGACCCAAAUGAAAGGCUACAAUAGAGAUUAGCCUGUUGCAUGAUGUACCUCUUUUGUUGGAAUAUACCACUGCCUUUCCGGGGUUCAAAAAUCUAAUUCACAGCCCAUGUUGGUUAGAAGAAAAACAGAGACCAAGUAAAUGCUUGUUUAGUUUAGUGAUGUUUUUAUAUCUCAUAUGUGUUUUUUUUUGCUUUUUUUAUUUUACAACCUGGGGGCUAAUAACAAGAGCGAUUUCUUUUCUUUUUAUUGAUAUGUAUUUUUUUGCUUUUUUUUAUUUUACAACCUGGGGGCUAAUAACAAGAGCUAUUCCUUUUCUCUUUAUUGAACUAUAGAUAUGGAUCUUGAGAUUAUAAGAAAAAUUUACAAAUGACUAUGAUUAUAGGAAGCAAGAGCUUUUGUUAAAGUUCUGCAUAUGGUUCAGUGACUCUAAAAAAAUGUUCUUCUGUCUACAUUGCAAUACUUCACCAGUUGAAGCUCAGAUAAAAUUUUGUUUAUGCAUGCCUUCGUACAGCAAAAAAAUAGAAUUAAAAGUACGAUACAAAUUACAUCCUAUGCCACCUUCUAAGACUGAUAUGAACAUGAUGUUUUUAGGUUAUUUGCUCCUAAUUUUUUGGAUAUAGUCUGUAUGGAUUUUAUGUUUUCUCCCCUUCAUGCUUAAUGCAAUUUCAGACUCCAUAUUUGUAGAUACCUUAGUCAUUGUUGUUAAUUAUAUGUAAUUUGUUGUGUGUAUGAAACACAACCUGCUUAUAUUUGCAAAUUAUUUCUACAAACAUUUCGCUGAUGUUUUCAGAAUUUGUUGAGUAACUUCUUCUCCUCCUUUGUAUGAGUUCAUCCAUCCACUGUGUAUGCAACCAUGUAGCAACUACAAAUAUAUACCUCAUCACAGAUCGCUGAUUCUUCUGUCUAUGCUAUUUCUGGGUAAGGUGGGCUGUAAAGCUUAGAUUUAUUAUAAAUUUGUGAUGGGAUCAACUCUUGUUGCCAUUGACAAAAUACAGUUGUUUGUGAUUUUCUCCCAAAUUAUUCAUGCAUGCAGAGUCCAGGUACAUCCAGGGGAAAUAUUUAUUGCAGAAUAUCCUUUAAAUAUAGAAACUUAUGCUUUCAAAAAGAAAACUUUAUACUUGAUAGGUUGCAUGCUUGUCACCUAAAUUGUAUGUUAUCAGGUACGCUGCAGCGCCUGCCUAGCUCUGUAUGUAGUAGGCUACAACGAGGGUAGCGAUGAUGAGUUAUAGGCCAACUGUCUCCUCCGGCUGCAACAGAUAGCGGCCCAGGCCUCUCUGUGGCAAGAUUUAUUGUGUUGUCAAUUUCUAUUAUGAGUUUUAUGAUUUCAAUAGGACAUUGAUCAUGCUCCUUGUUGAUUGGUGAGUUCACUUUUCACUCCUGAUUUUCAUUAACCAUUCAUGAAUUUUUAAUUGAGAAGAUGUAGUUUGUAUUUUUGCUUCCCCACUUGGUGUCAGUUAGCCACACCCUUGCAAAAAUACAUUUGUUUUGUUGUCUAUGUACCUCACCAAUAAAUAUUAACAUGACUUUUAUGUUCUUUUUUGGCGACUCUCUAGAUUGCAUUUUCAACUAGGACUGGUAUACCCAUGCUUUGUCCAUGCCUUCAUGCUGUGCUGAUGUAUGCUUUUAUUACAAUGCCAGGUUGAAUUUUAAGAGCACACAGCUACUGUUAGUUCUGUUGGAGUAUAAGGUUUAGGCCCAUGAGGCCCAUGUAUGUGACCAUAUUGCUACCCUUCUAGGGUGAGCCCAAUUAAGAAAAUCACAGUUUACAGCAUGGUAUCAAGCUAGGGUUUCUCUUCUCCCUCCCUCCCUUCCCAGCCCAGCCGCCAGGCAGCAGCCGCCGCCGGCCGGCGCGCCGCCGCAGCCGCGGCCAUGGCCGCCCCUCCUCCACCACCAGCGGGCGCGCCGCCCCUGCACGCGGCCCCCCUGGGCGCGGGCGCGCCGCCCCUGGGCGCGGCCUCCCUGGGCGCGGGCGCGCCGCCCCUGCGCGCGGCCCCCCUGGGCGCGGCCUCCCUGGGCGCGGGCCCCCUAGGCGCGAGCGCGCCGGCCCUGAGCGCAGCUGCGGGCGCGCCGCCCCUGGGCGCGGGUGCUGCCCUUCCUCCACCACACUCCGCCCUCGCCACUGCCCUCACCGCUGCCCGCGCUGCUGCUGCGGACGGCCAUGUGCGCAUGCAUGUCGGGGUGACCUCCUCCGGCUCCGGGGACGCGGCCGUCGCCGCCAUGCCUGCUGCAGUGGCUGCCGGACUGGGCAUGCCCUGGGCUGACGCUGCCGGACUGGGCUUGCCGCGUGCUGACGCAGCCGCGGCGGUCACCACCCUCGCCGCUGACCGGGCCGCUGCGGCGGCGGACAGGACCUCGUCUCUUCUUGCUCCUCCUCCCUCCGAGCCAAGCGGGGGUUGGGGGGGCCGUGGCAGCCACCGUCGCCACCGCGGUGGAGGCGGGUGGAGUCUCUCAGCGCCUCUGUGGCCUCCACCUCCGAGUGCCUUGCCAGUGCCUGUCGGAUGGGACCCGGCGGCCUGGGCAUCUUUCCGCCACCUGUGGUCGAUCAUGUGGGGCGACGGCAGGUCGGCGCCUCUGUUGUCGGACACAACAGCUCUACGUGCGCGGGCCAUGGCCGCUGUGCCUAGAGGAGCUGCGUCUCCUUCCACACCGGCUUCCUCAUUCCUCUCCACCGCCAAACCUUCGCCCGCGGCUCCUCCUGCCGCAGGGCUGCGACCAGUCAGUCCUGACUGGAUCGCUGACUCGGGCGCCACCUUCCAUAUCACGCCCGAUGCGAGUCUCCUCUCUUCUAUCAGUCCUCCCCACCCUUCUUGUCCUUCUUCCAUCAUGGUCGCUAAUGGCACCUGCAUUCCUGUCUCCUCCGUAGGCACUGCCAAUUCCCAUGGCUCUUUUCAUAUCCCCGAUGUUCUUGUGGCUCCCGGUAUGGUUCACAACCUCCUCUCUAUUCGCCGCUUCACGACUGACAACUCUUGUUCGGUUGAGUUCGACCCCUUUGGCCUCACCGUGCGGGAGUUGGCUUCCCGACGUCCUCUUCUCCGUUGUGACAGCACUGGGCCUCUCUACACCCUUCGUUUCCCGGUUUCCGCUGCACCUCCUUUGCCUUCUUAUUCACCCCCUUCGGCUUCUGCCUUCACCACCACCUCCACCACUACGUGGCACCAUCGCCUUGGCCAUCCUGGCAGCACUGCUUUGUCCCAGCUCAGUCGCAGUUCCGCUAUGCCUUGCCCCCGCACUCCUGAUGAGCAUUUGUGUCAUGCAUGCCAGUUGGGCCGUCAUGUUAGACUUCCUUUCCCUACCUCCUCCUCCCAUGCGGCUCACAUCUUUGAUCUUAUCCAUUGCGACCUGUGGACAUCUCCUGUUCUUAGUAUGUCUGGCUACAAGUACUACUUGGUGGUGGUUGAUGACUUCUCCCAUUACUCUUGGACUUUUCCCUUGCGUGCCAAGUCCGAUACAUUCACCACUCUUCGCCACUUCUUUGCAUGGGUGUCCACCCAGUUCGGCCUCACCAUCAAGGCCGUGCAGUGUGACAACGGGCGUGAGUUUGAUAACACCACCGCUCGCUCCUUCUUCCUCUCCUGUGGUGUCCAGUUGCGCAUGUCUUGCCCUUACACCUCCCCUCAGAACGGCAAGGCUGAGCGCAUGAUUCGCACCACAAACGAUGUCAUGCGCACCCUUCUGUUACAGGCCUCGCUUCCCGCUCGCUUCUGGGCUGAGAGCCUCCACACCGCCACCUAUCUCCUUAACCGCUUGCCCUCCACGGCUUCCCCUGCGCCCACUCCACACCACGCUCUUUUCGGUACCCCUCCCCGCUACGAUCACCUUCGUGUGUUUGGGUGCGCUUGCUACCCCAACACAGCUGCCACUUCUCCUCAUAAGCUUGCCCCCCUUUCUACUCUCUGUAUCUUCCUGGGUUACUCCCCUGAGCAUAAGGGGUACCGUUACUUGGACCUCUCUUCUCGCCGUGUCCUCAUCUCUCGCCACGUCGUGUUUGACGAGUCGGCAUUCCCUUUCUCCACCACCCCCACCUCCACACCUCCUGCUGACCCUGCGGAGGCUUCUUUUUUUUCCCACUGACCCGGUGGUUCCACCACCGUUUCCACUAUACCCUGCAGGUCUUGCUCCGGCACGCUCUCCUGGUGGUCCUUCGAGCCAGGACCCUCCUGUACCUGGCACGACAGAGGCAGCCCCAGAGCUUCCUCCCCCGCUACCAGUGGUUGCGCUGCCUCCCGUUGUGCCCGAAGUCGUCGCCCCGAUCGCGGGACCGCGCGCCCCGUCCUCACCUCCCCGACGCUUCGGCCUCGUCUACCAGCGGCGGCGAGAGCCGGCUCCGCCUCUGCAGCCGGUGUCGCUGGCUCCGUCGCCGCCCUCGCCGGUACGGGCUCCGCCGUCGACCCCGCCACCUCCGGCGGAGCACCCGUCCAUGCCGCCUCCGGCCCCGAGGCGCUCUCGCGCCGAGCCGCCGGUGUACCACCCGCCUCUACUUCACCGGGAUCCUCGUCACACUCACCCAAUGGUGACGAGGCAGGCAUCCCGGCCGCGGGCCCUCACCGCUGCUACCUGCGAGACGGGGAUCUCUCCGGUACCCUCUUCCGUCCGCGAGGCCUUGUCAGAUCCUCACUGGCGCCGUGCGAUGGAAGAGGAGUACGCGGCCCUCCUCGCUAACCAGACGUGGGAUCUGGUGCCCCGUCCGUCGGCCUCCAACGUUGUCACCGGCAAGUGGAUCUGGACGCACAAGCGGCGUGCUGAUGGUUCCUUGGAGCGCUACAAGGCUCGCUGGGUCCUCUGGGGUUUCAGUCAGCGGCCCGGCAUUGACUAUGAUGAGACCUUCAGUCCAGUGGUGAAGCCAGCUACCGUCCGCACCGUACUAUCUGUGGCUCUCGAGCGCUCCUGGCCUGUGCAUCAGCUGGAUGUCAAGAAUGCCUUCCUCCAUGGCACUCUGACCGAGACAGUCUACUGCAGUCAGCCGGCCGGUUUUGUGGAUUCUUCUCGCCCUGACUUGGUCUGCCGGCUCAACAAGUCUCUCUACGGUCUCAAGCAGGCACCUCGGGCGUGGUAUUCUCGGUUCUCUACCUUCCUGCAGACUCUUGGGUUCACGGAGGCCAAGUCCGACACCUCACUGUUCAUAUACCACCAUGGGGGUGAGACUGCUUACCUGCUCCUCUAUGUGGAUGACAUUGUUCUCACCGCCUGCAGCGAGUCACUGCUCCAGCGCAUCAUUACCACUCUCCAGAAGGAAUUUGCUAUGAAGGAUCUUGGUGUGCUCCAUCACUUCCUCGGUGUCACUGUUGAGCCCCGACCUUCAGGCUUGUUCCUCCACCAGCGGCAGUUCACUUGUGACAUUCUCGAGCGAGCAGGGAUGACUGACUGCAAGUCUUGUUCUACUCCGGUCGAUACCCAGGGCAAGCUGUCAGAGGCAGAGGGUCCGAUGCUUGGGCCAGAGGACUCUACCGCCUACCGGAGUCUUGCUGGCGCGCUCCAGUACCUCACCUUCACACGGCCUGACAUCACCUACGCCGUGCAGCAGCUCUGCCUCUACAUGCAUGCUCCGCGGGAGCCCCACCUUGCUGCUAUGAAGCGGCUCCUCCGGUACCUCCGUGGCACUCUAGGCUAUGGGCUGCUCCUCAGCCGGUCCUCCUCUGCCGAGCUGGUUGUCUACACCGACGCUGAUUGGGCGGGCUGCCCCGACACCCGCAGGUCCACCUCCGGCUACGCUGUCUUCCUGGGCGGCAACCUUGUCUCGUGGUCGUCCAAGCGACAGCCGGUGGUCUCACGCUCCAGUGCCGAGGCGGAGUACCGCGCCGUUGCCAAUGGUGUGGCCGAGGCUGCUUGGCUCCGCCAGCUACUGGCUGAGCUUCACCGCCCCCUCGCCAGGAGCUCACUUGUCUACUGCGACAACGUCAGCGCCGUCUAUCUCUCCACCAACCCUGUGCAGCACCAGCGGACCAAGCAUGUGGAGAUCGACCUGCACUUCGUCCGCGACCAUGUGGCCAUCGGCGACAUCCGGGUCCUCCACGUCCCGACCACCUCACAGUUUGCGGACAUCUUCACCAAGGGCCUCCCUUCCUCGACUUUCGCCGAGUUUCGCUCCAGCCUCAACGUCACCGGUGGCUAGUUGUGGCUGCGGGGGGGUAUUGUGUGUUAUGUGUUUUCUUUCUUGUCCAGUCUUGAACUCCGCUGUGCCGGUAGUCCAGACUGCGGGGGGGUGUUGGAGUAUAAGGUUUAGGCCCAUGAGGCCCAUGUAUGUGACCAUAUUGCUACCCUUCUAGGGUGAGCCCAAUUAAGAAAAUCACAGUUUACAGCAAGUUCCAUUUGCUGUUCCCUUGCAAUUCUCUGAUGCUCUGAUAUUUAGGUUUCAGACAACCACAUCAGCUCAACUUAAAUUUAAGAGUUAUCUAUUGCUCCCCAUUCAUCUUUUGGUGGGCAUAUACUCACAUACCUUGCAUUGAACUGAGAUUAUUUUCAACCACUAUGAUAUCUGCAUCCAAUCUACAGUUAAUUCGUACUCAUGCUGCUUUGAUUUUGGUCUGAAUAUUUUUUACCUUUCCUCAUGCACAGGUUAUCCUUCAAGGUUUGGUAUUUCUCAAUUUUUGUUCUGCACUUCCAUUAUUACCAGCAUUUGAGUCUCCACUCCGUGAUAGAUUUUUUUACAUGCAUAUCCACUGUGCCACCUUGUGCAUAAUCUAGGCCUUCUCUCAUUUCUCUUGAUCUUUUCUAUUUUUUUAUCUCUUUUCUCCCGUUGCAUGCUAAAUUCGAUGUUGUGUAAUUUUUAACCUCCCCCCCACAAAUACCUUUAAAUAAUAUUAUAUUUUUUUUCUUUUCCUUCAUGAUUUUAGGGACCAGGUACAUACUGCUACAUUCAUCCAUGCCUUUUGGGACCAGGUACACACUACCACACCCAUGUGGUCAACAUUUAUUUAGUUCAUAUGCACUCGGCUAAUAUUACCUCUUUGCUCAGGUUUUUGUUUCUUUCAACAGUCUACGCUGGCCAACAUGGUAUUCACCUUAACAUUUUGCGAUAUUAGGAGGAUGCGUGUUCAAAUCUCUAGAAUCAUCAAGUAUGGAUGUCAGAAAUUACAAGGAUAGUUGUCCUCUCUUUUGGCCUAUACUAUCAGCCCAACACAAAACCCAAACAUGGUCUACUAUGUUUCAUACUUAUUCUCCGUGACAAUGCUACCACACCAUGAACCAAGCUAAGGCCUUGUUUAGUUUCGAAUUUUUUUUGGAUUUCGCUACUGUAGCAUUUUCAUUUGUAUUUGAUAAUUAUUGUCCAAUCAUGAACUAACUAGGCUCAAAAGAUUCAUCUCGCAAAUUACAGGCAAAUUAUACAAUUAGUUUUUGUUUUCAUCUACAUUUAAUGUUUCAUGUAUGGGACUAAAAAUUUGAUGUGACACGAAAUCUUAAUUUUUUUGUAUUUUAGGGUAAACUAAACAAGACCUAAGUUCUUCUGCCAUUGCGCGCGAGGGCGUGUGCCCUCCACUAGUAUAUUAGCAAACACCAGUCCUGAACAAAUCAACUUGUGCAUAGUGCACUAGAAGUUUGAGACGAUUAAAU